rnacentral:rRNA from 1 species
GACGAACGCUGGCGGCGUGCUUAACACAUGCAAGUCGAACGGUAAGGCCCUUCGGGGUACACGAGUGGCGAACGGGUGAGUAACACGUGGGUGAUCUGCCCUGCACUUCGGGAUAAGCCUGGGAAACUGGGUCUAAUACCGGAUAGGACCACUGCCUGCAUGGGUGGUGGUGGAAAGCUUUUGCGGUGUGGAAGAUGACCUCGCGGCCUAUCAGCUUGUUGGUGAGGUAAAGGCUCACCAAGGCGACGACGGGUAGCCGGCCUGAGAGGGCGACCGGCAACACUGGGACUGAGACACGGCCCAGACUCCUACGGGAGGCAGCAGUGGGGAAUAUUGGGCAAUGGAGGAAACUCUGACCCAGCGACGCCGCGUGAGGGAUGAAGGCCUUCGGGUUGUAAACCUCUUUCAGCACCGACGAAGCGCAAGUGACGGUAGGUGCAGAAGAAGGACCGGCCAACUACGUGCCAGCAGCCGCCGUAA